GACGAACGCUGGCGGCGCGCCUAACACAUGCAAGUCGAACGGAGCUGAGAGAAGCUUGCUUUUCUUAGCUUAGUGGCGAACGGGUGAGUAACGCGUGAGUAACCUGCCCUGGAGUGGGGGACAACAGUUGGAAACGACUGCUAAUACCGCAUAAGCCCACGAUCCGGCAUCGGAUUGAGGGAAAAGGAUUUAUUCGCUUCAGGAUGGACUCGCGUCCAAUUAGCUAGUUGGUGAGGUAACGGCCCACCAAGGCGACGAUUGGUAGCCGGACUGAGAGGUUGAACGGCAACAUUGGGACUGAGACACGGCCCAGACUCCUACGGGAGGCAGCAGUGGGGGAUAUUGCACAAUGGGGGAAACCCUGAUGCAGCGACGCCGCGUGGAGGAAGAAGGUUUUCGGAUUGUAAACUCCUGUCGUUAGGGACGAUAAUGACGGUACCUAACAAGAAAGCACCGGCUAACUACGUG
rnacentral:rRNA from 1 species